AGCAGAAACGGCUGUUGUAUGGGAUAAAGUCCAUUUGUAUUAAAAAGUAAUAAUCGAUGUUAGUAAAUUGUAGUUGAUCAAUAUUUCUCCAUUUUCUGUUUACUUUAAAUUUGAUUCCGGAUGAACUCAUGUUUAUCUUUGGCAUUGCCUAAAUCUCUGAGCAUAAUA